GAAGUGGAACACAACUACUAACCCCGUCAUGACUAAACAUGUAGGCAUAAAUCACUCCUUGAUCGUCCUUCCUGAGGAGGGACUUGUGCACAAACAGCGAACCCGGAACGGCGGGCUGAUGCGGAAUCUUAAUGGCAAUAAUGUGAUUUGCAACAGCAACAGCGAAAGAUUUUACAUGUGAGGACAGGAAAAUCCAGACAGGGGCUCUGACUCUCACAGUCAUGCAGUUAGGAGUAAGCGACACAAUCGCGACCGGAACCCAGGUUUUUAGUUUCAUCUCAUGAGUGUCAAUGACUUGGGAAACGGAGACUGCCUUCCCCAACCCAGAGAGAGCUCCAAAGAGAAGUGCAGUGUCCACACUGGUUCUGCAUUUGCAGCCUCAAGAUAUUCUGACACCACUCUAGGAUCCUGAAACAUAGGCCAGGGACUUUCUCUGUGCUGAACACCUUCCUGGGAGGCUGAGGAGUUACGGGAUCCAGGAGUGAGAGCUGCUGGCAUUGCUUUUAUUUUAUUGUCAGAGGAAUGAGCCACAGAUGCUGCAAAGUCUCCAGAAAACACUCAUUUGUCAAUCUUCAGUUCUGUGAUUGUAAAACAUGAAAAGUUCUCUUGCACUGAUCGUCCAUGUGUAAACUUAUUGCUUUAUUAUCAAUCGUUUUAAAUGGCUGGUGUACACAGCUUAGUGUUAGGGUAAAUAUCUGACAAUCACCGUGUAAGGGAAGCUGAUGAUGCACACAGAUAUGAGGCCAUCAAAUCAUCUAAUCUAGACAGUUGCAGAACGAGUUUAAAGAGGAAACUGGACACUUGUGGAAGCUGCAUUUACUCUUGAACCGUUAUGGAACAAGUUAGCACAUCCGGAAUAUUGACUUGCCAAAUGGAACACCCUGAAAGAGUUAAUUCAACCUUGCAACUAUCAACACACUCCAGGGACACAGCCGAUGAACUGAGAAAAUCUGACUAAUCUGUUUUUAUUUUUUGUGCAAUUUUUUGAGUAAUCUGAACAACAUACUCUUUCCCCAGUUCCUUUUCUCCUUUGAAACCUGGGCAGAACUAAUGAUUUUUAAAAACUAGACUGCAGAAGGUAAUUGGAAUAGAUCAAGUAUUAAUAAAAGUAUUGCCUUCAUAGUGUUCAGGUUAAUGCUUGAAAUGUACAGCAGUCACUUUAGAAACUUGCCUAUGCAUUUUUUUAUUGAUGUCCCUGGAAAUACACGUUUUGGUUAAUAAUUUAAAGCAAAAAUUAUUAAGCAAUUAAACAAAACAUCAAAAAUAGAAAUAAACUAUUUGAUUCUACUAAAUCAAAUAUUUAAAAUUCUAUCAAAAAUAGAAUUUUCCCAUGAUUUUAAGUGAUCUGCUGAUAAACUCUCUUGCAAAUCAUUCUUAAACUCCUAAAUGUUUUCUUUCAUGAAGAAAGAAAAAGGAAAAGGAAAAUAAAGCAGGUGGCUGAGCACCAUUUUAAGAUA